GACGAACGCUGGCGGCAUGCCUAAUACAUGCAAGUCGAACGAUGACGCUUUCUAGUUUACUAGAAAGCUGAUUAGUGGCGAACGGGUGAGUAACACGUGAGAAAUCUGCCCACAAGUGGGGGAUAACAUUCGGAAACGGAUGCUAAUACCGCAUAUAUCUUUAGACCGCAUGGUCUUUAGAAGAAAGAUGGCUUCGGCUAUCGCUUAUGGAUGAUCUCGCGGCGUAUUAGUUAGUUGGUGGGGUAAAGGCCUACCAGGACAAUGAUACGUAGCCGACCUGAGAGGGUGAUCGGCCACACUGGGACUGAGACACGGCCCAG
rnacentral:rRNA from 1 species